GGGGAUUUAGCUCAGUGGCAUAAGCACCUGCCUGGCAAGCAUGAGAUCAUGAGUUCAAUCCCCA
rnacentral:tRNA from 1 species